rnacentral:rRNA from 1 species
AUUGAACGCUGGCGGCAGGCUUAACACAUGCAAGUCGAGCGGUAACAGGAGAAGCUUGCUUCUCGCUGACGAGCGGCGGACGGGUGAGUAAUACUUAGGAAUCUACCUAGUAGUGGGGGAUAGCACGGGGAAACUCGAAUUAAUACCGCAUACGACCUACGGGAGAAAGGGGGCAACUUGUUGCUCUCGCUAUUAGAUGAGCCUAAGUCGGAUUAGCUAGAUGGUGGGGUAAAGGCCUACCAUGGCGACGAUCUGUAGCUGGUCUGAGAGGAUGAUCAGCCCCACCGGGACCGGGACACGGCCCGGCCUCCUACGGAAGGCAGCAGUGGGUAAUAUUGGACAAUGGGGGCAACCCUGAUCCAGCCAUGCCGCGUGUAUGAAGAAGGCCUUUUGGUUGUAAGCACUUUAAGCAGUGAAGAAGACUCUAGGGUUAAUACCCUUAGACGAUGACAUUAGCUGCAGAAUAAGCACCGGCUAACUCUGUGCCAGCCGCCGCCGUAA